GGAAUCUCCAGAAGACAAGAAGGUCUGAAAGGAGGCGGCCUGGGAAACUGUGAGGCCCAGAAGGACAGGGUUCGAAGAGGAAAAGGAGGAGAGAAGCUUCGGAGGGAUGAGGAUCCGCACGUCUUUCUUCAUGUCGGCGGCUCUCGGGGGCCGGCCUCCGCCCGCACGCACGGAGUGGACUCCUCUCACCAGGAGCACCCACCCCACGGCGCCACCUGCCAGCCUCUUCGGCCGCCGGGGCCCGCCGCGCCGCCCCCUCAGUUGCUUCCCCGCAAGAGAGCCGGGACAGCGCCAGCUCCGCCUCCUCCGGCCCAGCGGGCUGUGGCGGCGGCGGCGGCGGCGGCGGCGGCGGCGGCGGCGGCGGCGGCGGCGGGGACGACGGCACGCGGCGAGGGACACGCGCUUUCGGAACGCGAACGCGCUCUGCGCCGGAACAGCGCUCCCGCUGUCAGGCCGCCGCAGCGCAGGCCCAGGGAGCCUCGCCCACCCUCCUUUGGGCACCGCGACCCCGGAGACACUUGGGCCAGGAAUUUGAAUGGCGGAUUCCCUGGUUUAACCCCGUUUAUUUUAUAGAUAGGGACAGAAAUUCCCUGUUCAAAGUCACAUAGCUAGAGCUUGGCAGUGACUCAGAGCAGGGAUCUUCUCACCAGACCAUAAACUCCGGGAGGGCAGCGAUCAGCUUGCAUGGUUUUCAGCUGCGUCCCCACGUUAUUGGAUAGGGCCGUCAGAAAAUGCUUGAUCGAGUAGGGCGACUGGCUCCCAGGAUCCGGCGCUUUCCACUCCCCAAAGCCCGUCACCCUAGUUGCUUUUGCCUCUGAUGCUUAUAAAAUACGAUUAUAAGAUUCGUUUUUACGCUGUGUGAACAAGACUCCUUUCUUUAUAACCAAACUAAGUGACUUUUUUUCUGUCUAUGUAGUUUAUUUUAUGGCAGGGUUUUCGGACACUCUUCUUUACUCAGGCUUACCCAGCGUAAUGCUAGACACGGAGGUGGCACUCGAUAAUAAACUCUAGAUGAUUUUUCUAACAUUGCCUUAAUUUUCUCGUGACCCUCUCCAUCUGGAGGAAUUUGUUGUUACAUGCUUAAUGUUUGGUACACAAUGGCAAAUAUAUAUAUAUACAUACGCGUGCGAAUAUAUAUCACAUCCCUAAUACUUGGCACACAGUGGGAAAUAUAAAAUACAUAAAUUAAUGAGGAAGCACUAUCUGUGCAUAAUGUACAUUUUUUCUAUCUUAAAUAUUACACAAUAAACACUUAAAGGGAAUGAAAUGUGCGUAAUACCAACUUCCCUUUCUCCUAGGAGAAGUCAUGUGGUCUCUUGCAGCAGUUAAGAGUUGCUGGCAAAUUUCCUGGGUUUGAAUCUAGGCUCCACAUAAUAGCUCUGUGAUCUCGACUAAGUGCUUUUAUUUUUACUUCCCUCAGCCACUGUUCCUUCUUCUGUAGCAUGGAAAUAAUGAUGAUAAUACCUUCCUCUUGAGAUGGUUGUGAGUAAUAAAUACUAUAAUACUUGUCAAGCAUUUGGUACAGUGCCAGACUCAGAGCGUGUGCUCUACUGAUCUCAGCUAUCAUUAUUAUAUUAAAAAGUCACUAAAAAGUUGUAAAAAAAAAAAAAAAAAA
rnacentral:lncRNA from 1 species